rnacentral:rRNA from 1 species
CAAUAGCGUAUAUUAAAGUUGUUGCAGUUAAAAAGCUCGUAGUUGGAUUUGUGGUUCGUCCCGCCGGCUGGGUCAUUGACUUUUGCUGUGCUGGUCGUCCAUCCUUGGGUGGAAUCUGUGUGGCAUUAGGUUGUCGCGCAGGGGAUGCCCAUCGUUUACUGUGAAAAAAUUAGAGUGUUCAAAGCAGGCUUAUGCCGUUGAAUAUAUUAGCAUGGAAUGAUGAUAUAGGACCUUGGUACUAUUUUGUUGGUUUGCGCACUGAGGUAAUGAUUAAUAGGGACAGUUGGGGGUAUUCGUAUUCCAUUGUAAGAGGUGAAAUUCUUGGAUUUUUGGAAGACGAACUACUGCGAAAGCAUUUACCAAGGAUGUUUUCAUUAA